AUUGAACGCUGGCGGCAGGCCUAACACAUGCAAGUCGAACGGUAACAGGAAGCAGCUUGCUGCUUCGCUGACGAGUGGCGGACGGGUGAGUAAUGUCUGGGAAGCUGCCUGAUGGAGGGGGAUAACUACUGGAAACGGUAGCUAAUACCGCAUAAUGUCGCAAGACCAAAGAGGGGGACCUUCGGGCCUCUUGCCAUCGGAUGUGCCCAGAUGGGAUUAGCUUGUUGGUGGGGUAACGGCUCACCAAGGCGACGAUCCCUAGCUGGUCUGAGAGGAUGACCAGCCACACUGGAACUGAGACACGGUCCAGACUCCUACGGGAGGUAGCAGUGGGGAAUAUUGCACAAUGGGCGCAAGCCUGAUGCAGCCAUGCCGCGUGUAUGAAGAAGGCCUUCGGGUUGUAAAGUACUUUCAGCGGGGAGGAAGGGAGUAAAGUUAAUACCUUUGCUCAUUGACGUUACCCGCAGAAGAAGCACCGGCUAACUCCGUG
rnacentral:rRNA from 1 species